rnacentral:rRNA from 1 species
UACAGAGGUCUCAAGUGUUGUUCGGAUUCAUUGGGCGUAAAGGGUGCGUAGGCGGCGCGGUAAGUCGGGUGUGAAAUCUCGGAGCUUAACUCCGAAACUGCAUUCGAUACUGCCGUGCUUGAGGACUGGAGAGGAGACUGGAAUUUACGGUGUAGCGGUGAAAUGCGUAGAUAUCGUAAGGAAGACCAGUGGCGAAGGCGGGUCUCUGGACAGUUCCUGACGCUGAAGCACGAAGGCCAGGGGAGCAAACGGG